AGAUAUGUAAGCUAAAUUUAAGCUAUUGGACUCAUAUUUCAAUUAUAGAUUAUUUCAGUCUCUUAUCUG
rnacentral:tRNA from 1 species